rnacentral:rRNA from 1 species
CCUACGGGAGGCAGCAGUGGGGAAUCUUGGACAAUGGGGGGAACCCUGAUCCAGCGACGCCGCGUGAGUGAAGAAGGAUUUCGGUAUGUAAAGCUCUAUCAGCAGGGAAGAAAAUGACGGUAACUAACUAAGAACCCCCUGCUAACUACGUGUCAGCAGCCGCGGUAAUACGUAGGGGGCAAGCGUUAUCCGGAUUUACUGGGUGUAAAGGGAGCGUAGACGGUGCGGCAAGUCUGAUGUGAAAGGUCGGGGCUCAACCGCGGGGGGGAAUUGGAAACUGUACAACUGGAGUACAGGAGAGGUAAGCGGAAUUCCUAGUGUAGCGGUGAAAUGCGUAGAUAUUAGGAGGAACACCAGUGGCGAAGGCGGCUUACUGGACUGUAACUGACGUUGAGGCUCGAAAGCGUGGGGAGCAAACAGGAUUAGAUACCCCUGUAGUC